UACUUGUAUAUUUCUGAAUAAUAUUCAAUUUGUAUGUUUGCUUCAUGAAGAUAUACAAUUAUUUAUCCUUGAAACUAGCAGGAAAUUUAGAGUUAUAUCUAGAGUUAUAUCUAUAGAUUGCAAUGAUUCCCUAUUCCUAACUAUAUAUUUUGAUUUUCUAACAACAACAUAUACAUUUGAAGCAGCUUUCUUAAAAGAUUCCCUCUCUCUCUGGUGCUGCAAAGUUAGGGUUUCUUAUGACCAGCAUUUCACAGUGGGAAUUGUAGUGGUGUGGGUCAAUAGAAUCUUUUGAUCAAAGAAACAAUAGUGGAGUAUUUGGUUCUUCAGCAUAUACACUAUCACAAAGUAUUGGUAGAGUUUAAGACUCCCAAAAAAGAAAUGCUUUGACAUUAUUGAUACGGAAGAGGAUGAUAUCUAUCAAGCUUGGAGGUUUAGGGCUGCCAAGCGCUUGAGAGGUAUGCUCCAUGCCAUUCGCAAAAAAGGUGCCCGUCCAUAUUGGAUCCCACUAGAAGUUCUUGGUGAAUUGAUGAGACGUUGGAACACUGAUGCCUAUAGACAAUUACAGGCGAGAAAUACAGCUGCCAGGAAAUCGACUCGAGGUACUUCUCUUCACACUGCAGGAGGCACCACCUUUCCAGAAGCGAGGUUACGCUUAGUAAGUUGCUUAUA